UGGGGAAUUUUGCACAAUGGGGGGAACCUUGAUGCAGCGACGCCGCGUGAGGGAUGGAGGCCUUCGGGUUGUGAACCUCUUUCGCUCGUGUGCAAGCCGCUAUUUGGGUAGUGGUGAGUGUAGCGGGUAAAGAAGCGCCGGCUAACUACGUGCCAGCAGCCGCGGUAAUACGUAGGGCGCGAGCGUUGUCCGGAUUUAUUGGGGGUAAAGGGCUUGUAGGCGGUUUGUCGCGCCUGUCGUGUAAUCCUCUGGCUUAACUGGGGGUGUGCGGUGGGUACGGGCAGGCUUGAGUGCGGUAGGGGAGAUUGGAAUUCCUGGUGUAGCGGUGGAAUGCGCAGAUAUCAGGAGGAACACCGGUGGCGAAGGCGGGUCUCUGGGCCGUUACUGACGCUGAGGAGCGAAAGCGUGGGGAGCGAACAGG
rnacentral:rRNA from 1 species